CAAGGCAGAGAAAAAAGGAAUAAGGGGAAAAAUGCAAAAAGGGAAAAGAAACCAACAGUGUGAAUGGAGCGACCUUCAGAAACCACAUCCUUCCUCUGAAAUAGAGAUCCUUUAUUCACCUGGGCUCAAGCACAGCUGGACAAGACACCAUUGUCAAACAUUUGCAAAGGGGCCAAAGAACUGAACAAAUUUAGAUGACAUCAAUACAAGGGCAAAAUAAAUGUCUUUUGCAUUUACAUGCACGUGAAUGCGAGAGAGCUCUGAGAAAACCAUCUUAAUUCCCAGGAGAAAGGUGAAUGAAAGAAUGAAUAAGUAAAUAAAUAAUGAAGAACAAUAAUGGUUGUGCUGAUUUCUAUAUCCCUCCGUUUGCCAGAUUCAGCUCAAUCCAAUACUGACAUGCCCUUUGCUGCAAAACUGAAGUUGGUACAAAUUGAAACAUCCAUCAUGAUGAAUUAUAAUAGAAAGCUAAAAUCUAUUGGAUUAUAGCCUCUGGCUAACAGAAGCCUAUGUUGCCCCUAAUUUGUGUACGUGCAGGACUGACUCUCAAGAUGGUAACAGAAGGACCCAGAAAGAUUAGCAGCAACAUGUCUGUUUCACCUGUUGCAACCUCUCUGGUGCCCUUGGCAAAAGCCUUUGUGCCAAUCUGAGUUGUCGAUGCCCCCACGGCUUGAAGACUUGCUCCAGCUGCCAGCCCUCCAAUCACAGUUGCAAGCUGUGUCAUCCCCUUUCAGCACUUUACCUUGAAGAGACUGAAGUGCAGAACAGACAAUAUUUGGAUGAGAGGGCGAACCACUGUUUUUCUUCCCUUCACCCAGCUGAACAGGCUACAGCUGGAGAGAGAGGAAGCAAUGCAGGGGAAAAUGGCCCAUUGAAACGUUAUCCCCACUGGGAUGGUGGGGGCUGUGAUUCCUUCACAGGGUCUCUUGUGAAACUCUAAACCAAGUGGAUGGUGGAAAGGCUGGGGGAGAAGAGAGACAGCUGCAGCCACCUCCUGGGGCUGUACCCAUGCCUCGUUCACAGCAGAAUGGUGGAAGAAAAAAGGAGGCAAACAUAUUUAGUGUGCAAAAGGAGACACAGUUGGAAGUAAUAAUGGCUAAAUAUUUUCUCCAAGUUUCUUUUCCCCAGUCGCAGGCAUGCCAGAACCUCUGGAAGCACGAAAUACUCAGGCAAAAAGGAGGACUUUGACUAACCCGCCUUAGUUCUCAGUUCUCUUAGACCAAUCUUUGAGGAGGAGAUAGGGUGGCAGCCGGGUGGGGGUGGAAGGGUCCCACCAGGAUUUGCCAUAUCCUGAGCAAGAUUCCCAGGCUCCAAAAGAGUGGCCAGUUGCUGGAUCAAUUUCAGGGAGAUGUCGGUAGUGGAGUUCACGGUGGCUUAAAUGGAACAGCAGCUAAUACAGAACAGAUGGGGGAGUGUUUUGUGCAUGAGCAAACCAAAUAGGAAUAGAAGUUCUCCCACUGCUGACUACCCAGCCCCCUCCCCCUCACUACUGGAGAAUGACACAGGUGCACACAUAAUGUGUGCAAGCAGAUAGCACAGGUGUACUCACAUGGACAAGCUCCUUCUUGUGCUCAAAUCUAUAUCUGCAUGUAUCUGAUAUGCAGAAAACAUAAGCAGAUGAAACUCAAGGGCUUGACAUAUAUUACCAUUUCUAUCCUAAAGCUGUGCCACUGCUUACUACUUGGCCAAACCACUGCCCAUCAAAAUAGAAUGCAAGAAUUAAUUUCAUUGUUGAUGCCCUUCAGAUCAGCUUCCCCUAACCUGGAUCAUCUUGAAUAGCUAAUAAUGAUUCCCAUGCCACUGCCAGGAAGAUGGGUGUUAUAGUUCAACACAUCCAGGGAAAGCCACUUAGGACGAGGUUAAACCAAAGAGGGAUGCAUUUCUGAAAAAAACCUUUUGCUCUGGAGGCUCACCUUUCAUCUCCUCUGCUAAUACUAGCUCUUUGGAAAAUUGCAAAGGACUGGAAAUCCUAUGUCUGUCCAGAGUCCUGAGAUUUGGACAUAAAGUUAUGGACACCCAGGAGCUGAGAGACAAGUCCAGCCAGCUGGCUGACCUUCCCCCCCUUAUAGCAGGAAUAGGAAUAACAAUUGCCAGUCAAUAUCAGGGAAGGACUAAACACAUGAGAAUACACAUCCAUUUCUAAAGUCCCCCUGUGCAUUCACCCAGAGGGGGGGGAACCCAUUUGUGUUGCAACUGUAACAUUUGACCUUUACAUAUUACUGAUGCAGUUGAGCCAGCUGAGACCCAAAUACUUCCAAGCCGACCUCCCAACCUUGUUUUGAACUGAAAAGACAAAAGAGACCUUUGGGAGGUGGUGACUCUUUACAGACAGACUCCAUAGAGGGUAAAGCAGGCCUUCUGAGGAGCAAAAAAACCUCCAGGCAGAGGCUGUAUUCCAAAAAAAUAAUUUAUGGUUGUGGAUAAUUCAUGUGCAUUAGAAAUAAUAUGUACAUAAAUAUUUAUCUCUAGGACUAUGUACAGGGGGCAUCAGGAGCCAGAAAGGAAGGUCCAUGCUCUGUGUUAAGAGGCCUGUCCUUGUGGCCAUGUAUCUGGAGGAUUGGCCUGAGAAAGCGGGCUGACUCCUGCCAAACAGUGAGAUUUGAUUUAAAGAAAAUAUUAAAUUGGGUAUCAAAGAAGCAGGAUGCCCCAUGGCUUGGGAGACGGGUCCCAUGGGUCAGAUUACAGGCCAAAGCCCAGAGAGAAUUCUCCUCUCCCUGGGAUAAGGUUCCUCCCUGCUUAUUUGGUCCUAUUUAUUCUCAGACAGCUGACAGCAUCCAAGGCUCAGCUAGAGCAAAAACAGCUUUGAGGGAA